rnacentral:rRNA from 1 species
UUAAAUGGCCGCAGUAAUUUGACUGUGCAAAGGUAGCAUAAUCAUUAGUUUUUUAAUUAAAAGCUAGAAUGAAUGGUUGGACGAGAUAAAACCUGUCUCUUGUUAAAAAUUAGAAUUUAAUAUUUAAGUUAAAAAGCUUAAAUUUUUAUAAAAGACGAGAAGACCCUAUAGAUCUUUAUAAUACAUACUAUGUAUUUAAUUAGGAAUAUUUAAUUAUUUAUAGUUUUUAUUAUUUUAUUGGGGUAAUAAAAGGAUUAAAAUAAUUCCUUUUUAAAUUUUUUCAAUGAUAUUUGAUUUUUUGAUCCUUUAUUAGAGAUUGUAAGAUUAAGUUACCUUAGGGAUAACAGCGUAAUUUUUUUAAAGAGUUCUUAUCGAUAAAAAAGUUUGCGACCUCGAUGUUGGAUUAAAAAUUAUCCUGGGUGCAGAAGUUUGGGAUUUUGGUCUGUUCGACCAUUAAAUUUUUACAUGAUCUGAGUUCAGACCGGCGUAAGCCAGGUCGGUUUCUAUCUUUAUUAAGUUAAUAUAUUUUAGUACGAAAGGACCAAAUAUGUAAUAUAUAAAUAUUUUUAGUUUGAUUAAUAUUAUUACUUUGGCAGAUUAGUGUAAUGAAUUUAGAAUUCAUAAAUGUAAUUAUUUUACAAGUAAUAAUUUUUUAUUUGGAUUUAUUAAUUUUAGUUGUUUGUUUAUUAUUAUUAGUAAUUUGUGUUUUAGUGGGGGUAGCUUUUUUAACUUUG